AUGGUUAUCAAGGUCCAAAAAAAUAAAAAAACCCUUGUCUCCAAGAUCGGAACUCUGAUGAUAGCGACGGGCGACGCCGGCAACGUCCCCCGCCAGCUGGCCUCCAUCCUCCUCACCCGGAAACCACGCUUCACGGACAGCAGGAACGAGACCACGGCCACAGCCGAAUCCAAGGCCGGCUACACCAUGGCGGUCUCCUUCUGGGUGGCCGACCCACCGCAGCUGUCCCCCUUCUCCAUCGGCUGCUCCAAGCCCCAUGAUCUGUAG
rnacentral:rRNA from 1 species